CAAACACCCAACACACCUCUCUGCAUCUCUCUCUCCGAGCCAAAUACAUACCUAGCCACCAACCGACGCAUGAAGAGGCGAAAAGAAGCAACUGGACCGGGAAGAUCAAAGCAGAAUGUGUUCCGGUGAGGAAGAAAGCCCUCACUAAACAAUAGCUAGCUGAAUACACUUUUCUCUCUCCGUCUCUCUCUCAUCGGAAUACACCUCUCGUUCUCUCUCUCACUGGAGUUCAUGGAUGUUGACCUUGUAGCAGAUUGGGCAAAUAGUCUUUGCCACAAAUGGAGAUGGAUUGGAGAUGUAUACUGCUACUGAUUAUUGAAUAGAUCUCAGAUUCUAGUUCUGAAGUUUGAAAUGGCAUAUGACAGAUUACAUGAUAUCAUUUUUCACUUUGAGGUACACAUACAUGUAAUAGGGAAUGUUCAUCCAGAUAAGUUCAGUUAUGUCAUGCUGUAUAAUAAUGUUAUUGUAUUGCUGAAAUAUGAUGUUCAGAAAGGUGCGACAUUGAAUUUUUUCUUUAAAUUUCUUAGAACUGAUCAGAAAGGUGCGACAUUGACUUUAAGUUGGGAAUGUAUUGAUAUAUUUUGAGACUUUAAGUUGGAAUUAUUUAUGUAUUUUGAGCCUUAAAGUUGGGAAUGUAUUGAUAUAUUUUGAGAUUUUAA